ensembl:misc_RNA Metazoa_SRP Metazoan signal recognition particle RNA
GCCGGGCGUAGUAGUGCAUGCCUGUAGUCCCAGCUACUUGGGAGGCUGAGGCAGGAGAAUCGCUUGAACCCAGGAAGCAGAGGGUUGCAGUGAGCCGAGAUCAUGCCACUGCACUCCAGCCUGGGCAACAGAGUGAGACUCUGUCUCAA